UCCUCGGUAGCUCAGUGGUAGAGCAACCGGCUGUUAACCGGUUGGUCGUAGGUUCGAAUCCUACCCGGGGAGCCA
rnacentral:tRNA from 5 species